rnacentral:rRNA from 1 species
GACGAACGCUGGCGGCAUGCCUAAUACAUGCAAGUCGAGCGAACAGAUGAAGUGCUUGCACUUCUGACGUUAGCGGCGAACGGGUGAGUAACACGUAAGGAAUCUACCUAUAAGCGGAGGAUAACAUUCGGAAACCGGAGCUAAUACCGGAUAACAUUUGGAACCGCAUGGUUCUAAAGUGAAAGAUGGUUUUGCUAUCGCUUAUAGAUGGACCCGCGCCGGAUUAGCUAGUUGGUAAGGUAACGGCUUACGAAGGCGACGAUACGUAGCCGACCUGAGAGGGUGAUCGGCCACACUGGAACUGAGACACGGUCCAGACUCCUACGGGAGGCAGCAGUAGGGAAUCUUCCGCAAUGGGCGAAAGCCUGACGGAGCAACGCCGCGUGAGUGAUGAAGGGUUUCGGCUCGUAAACCUCUGUUAUUAGGGAAGAACAAAUGUGUAAGUAACUGUGCACGUCUUGACGGUACCUAAUCAGAAAGCCACGGCUAACUACGUGCCAGCCGCCGCGGUAA